GUGGGGAAUAUUGCACAAUGGGCGCAAGCCUGAUGCAGCCAUGCCGCGUGUGUGAAGAAGGCCUUCGGGUUGUAAAGCACUUUCAGCCGGGAGGAAGGCGGUGAGGUUAAUAACCUCACCGAUUGACGUUACCCGCAGAAGAAGCACCGGCUAACUCCGUGCCAGCAGCCGCGGUAAUACGGAGGGUGCAAGCGUUAAUCGGAAUUACUGGGCGUAAAGCGCACGCAGGCGGUCUGUCAAGUCGGAUGUGAAAUCCCCGGGCUCAACCUGGGAACUGCAUUCGAAACUGGCAGGCUAGAGUCUUGUAGAGGGGGGUAGAAUUCCAGGUGUAGCGGUGAAAUGCGUAGAGAUCUGGAGGAAUACCGGUGGCGAAGGCGGCCCCCUGGACAAAGACUGACGCUCAGGUGCGAAAGCGUGGGGAGCAAACAGGAUUAGAUACCCGAGUAGUCC
rnacentral:rRNA from 1 species